GCCGGGCAUGGUGGCGCAUGCCUGUAAUCCCAGCUACUCGGGAGGCUGAGGCAGGAGAAUUACUUGAACCCGGGAGGCAGAGGUUGCAGUGAGCUGAGAGCACACCACUGCACUCCAGCCUGGGCGACAGAGCGAGACUCUGUCUCAA
rfam:Homo sapiens chromosome 2, GRCh38 reference primary assembly.